GAUGAACGCUAGCGGCAGGCCUAAUACAUGCAAGUCGAACGGUAACAUGAGUAGCAAUACUUGAUGACGAGUGGCGCACGGGUGCGUAACACGUAUGUAAUCUUCCCACAACUGGGGGAUAGCCCGGAGAAAUCCGGAUUAAUACCCCAUAACCCAGCGAGGUGGCAUCACCUUUCUGGUAAAUCUCCGGAGGUUGUGGAUGAACAUGCGUCCGAUUAGCUAGUUGGCGGGGUAACGGCCCACCAAGGCUACGAUCGGUAGGGGUACUGAGAGGUUAAACCCCCACCCUGGUACUGAGACACGGACCAGACUCCUACGGGAGGCAGCAGUAAGGAAUAUUGGACAGUGGAGGCAACUCUGAUCCAGCCAUGCCGCGUGAAGGAUGAAGGCGCUAUGCGUUGUAAACUUCUUUUGAACGGGAAAAAACCCCUUUACGUGUAAAGGGCUGAUUGUACCGUUAGAAUAAGGGUCGGCUAACUUCGUGCCAGCCGCCGCGGUAAGAC
rnacentral:rRNA from 1 species